rnacentral:rRNA from 1 species
UACGAAGGGUGCAAGCGUUACUCGGAAUUACUGGGCGUAAAGCGUGCGUAGGUGGUUAGUUAAGUCUGAUGUGAAAGCCCUGGGCUCAACCUGGGAACUGCAUUGGAAACUGGCUUACUAGAGUGCGGUAGAGGGGUGUGGAAUUCCCGGUGUAGCAGUGAAAUGCGUAGAUAUUGGGAGGAACACCAAUGGCGAAGGCAGCUCGCUGGGACGGUACUGACGCUGAGGCGCGAAAGCGUGGGGAGCAAACAGG